rnacentral:rRNA from 1 species
CUAGCGUUGCUCGGAAUCACUGGGCGUAAAGGGUGCGUAGGCGGGUUUUUAAGUCAGGGGUGAAAUCCUGGAGCUCAACUCCAGAACUGCCUUUGAUACUGAAGAUCUUGAGUCCGGGAGAGGUGAGUGGAACUGCGAGUGUAGAGGUGAAAUUCGUAGAUAUUCGCAAGAACACCAGUGGCGAAGGCGGCUCACUGGCCCGGUACUGACGCUGAGGUGCGAAAGCGUGGGGAGCAAACAGG